UAGGUUGGUAAAGUUUAAAAUACGAAAGACACAUUAUUUUUUACAUUGUUUUAAAUUAGAUAAGCCGUUUUUUCAAUGUAUGUAGAGUUACUUUAAUAUUAAAUAUUUUUUUGUUCGAAGCCAUCGUAAAAAAUUAUUUGAGAAAAGCUUUGGUGUGCUUUCUUUUCUGAUUUCUGCCAUUUUGCUUUGGGACAGAAGCGAUUGCAAACAAAUUCGUAGCCUGGGAUCGAAGGCCAUUUGGCGCGUAAACUUUACGGUAGUGAAUGAGUUAAUUUAAUCUGUUUAUAAUCGUCAUCCAAGCACUGAUAUUUUUGGUGAUAUGCUCAACUAUGAUGAUGAUUGUGAUAUUUGAUAACACAUAUUACCAUAACAAAUAUUAAAAGUGUCAUAAUUCAUACCAACUGAAAUGCAGCCCUUCUUUUAUAAGUGAAGAGCACGUUUUGCUGCUUGGUCUCUGGAAACAGAUUUUCCUGCAAACGAAACAAUUUCCACAAAGAUAGUAUACUUACAAAGUUCAGUUGAAUGCCAAAGUUCAAUUACAAGUGUCAUAGAUAUAUCAAGAAAGCAAUAACAAUUGUGAGUUAAUUGUGCAAUUCAUUAAUUACACUCAAUUUUAUAAGAACAUGAGCGUUAAAAUUGGUCAAAAGUUAAAAACAAAUUAAGAACAAGCUGGGGCUGAGGCUGAGCUAUUUUAGAAUGCAAUUUUGAACAACGUUUUAUCUCAGAAACAAGGAAUUUUAGCCAUGUUUGGGUGCUUUUUCGGUAGUGAAGAUUCAAACUUGGCGGUGAAUGAAGGUUGCCUCACCCACUUUGUUGUCAAGUGAUGCCUGAAUACCUCCCUAGAGCUAAAAGCUAGCAAUUGCACUACUUACAUCCUAUUAAUUUUAAAAAAAAUUAGGAACAAUCUAGCCUUAGAUUUUUCAAAAAAUUAACAACAGUCAGCCACAACUUGAAUCAUCUGAUGGCUUAACAUACACACAGACAUUGGACACCACAAAGUAUCCAUCAGCGUUUUGUUUUCUUAUAUACUGCAAAGACUCUAGGGCAAGUAUUUAUUAUUGUUAGCAAUAUCAAAUUGAUGACUUAACAAUGUUUAGAAUUUCUAGGUAUAUCAAUCUGUAUGAGAAAAUCAAUAACAUUAAGACAUUCUGGUUAAGACAACAAUCGGUUUUUGCAAAACCAGUAUGUUAUAAACACUUCGCCUUUAGCAAGAGUCAUCUUCAGUACCGUAUUUACUAAAAAUGAAAAGAACUGGUGUAUAAACUUCUAUUAAUAACUGGUGUUGACCAACAAAACUUGUUUCUUUCAUUGCGAACUUUCAAUAUUUUAUUAAGAAAAUAAAUACUAUUGCGUUAUUAAACUUAAACUCAACUCAAACUUAAACUCAAAAUAUUUUUUCAACAUAAAAUUGAUUAAUUACAAUAUACGGGUUAACAUAAUUAUACUAAAUAUACAAUAUCCAAGUUAAUUUGGCUAAAUAACAAUGAAUGGUCAACGGCAAUAUUUUAUAGAACAGCAAUGAGAAUUAAACAAUUUUAGGCUGAUGGACACAUGGAAGAACUUUGGGCAAGCUAUCGAGCCAUGUAUCCAAAUUGACGUGUUUAUAAUGAUGAUUUUAAGUUUGAAUAAUAACAGUAAGAUAUAACAAGAAUAAAAUAAAGUAGAACGAAAUAAAAAUUGGACUAUGUUUGAUAUUGUAAUAACAGCUAAGUGCAAUUAUAAAAUAAUCAUAAAGUAAUCAAGCCUACAGAUGUCAAAUUUUGUUUAUAAGAAAAUAUUUCAUCUGUUUCACAAAGUGGUGUUUAUUAUCCAUCUUUUUUAACUCUAUAGGUAGGGAGUUCCAAAAUUUAAUACCAUCAAAAGUGAGAAAGUUUUUUUUAAAGUUUGUAGAAAUGGAUGGAAGAGAAAAACCUUCAGAAGAAGAUCGCCAUGUAUUAUAAUUGUGUACAUUUUUUGUUUCUACAAAGUCGCCUUCAAGAGAAGUUUUGUCAGAGAUAAUUUGAUAUAUCAUUUUGCUGUCUCAAGCAGGUAAAGUUUAUCAAAGUUAAAUAUUUUAAGGCGUUUAAAUAUAGGUUCACUAUGUGCAGUGAAGUUCGCAAAGUCAAUUACUCUAACUGCUUUUCGUAAGUUACGUUUUAAAGGUUCCAGGGUAGUUUUAUUAGCACAACCCCAAUUUAAUAUACCAUAUAGUACAUGUGAUUGAAAGAAUGAGGAGUAUAAAGUCUUAAGAGAUUGUUUUGGUAUCAGAUGUCUUAAUUUAUAUAGCACUCCGAUUCCUUUUGAUAAUUUUAAAUUUAUUUGCUUUAUAUGCAAUUUCCAGGUAAGCUUAUUAUCAAUUAUUACUCCAAGAUAUAGUGUAAUUUUCUUGUUUGAGAUCUCUGUUAUUAAUUUUUAAUUUUACGUUUCUAUCAGUUUUACGAGAGCUUAUCAGCAAGAAGUUCGAUUUAGAUACAUUUAGCGAUAGCUUAUUAGCCAAUAACCACACAGAUAACCUUGUAACUCCGAAUUGGUGGUUUGUUCUAGGAUAUCAAGAUUUUUGUUAGCCAAUAAAAUACUGGUGUCAUCUGCAAAUAGUCGAAACUGAAGAAUUUGAGAAGAUUUAUAAAUGUCAUUUAUAUAAAUCAAAAACAAUAGUGGCACAAGUACACUACCUUGUGGGACACCACAAUUGAGAGUCAUAAAACGUACCAAAUUCUGGUGUUUUACAAACAGUGUAACGAUUCGUUAUGCGCAUGCCCAUGACAGCAUAUCCUUUGUCAGACAGAAGUUGAGUUCUAUUCUACUCAAGUGGUCAUCGAUACUAGUUCGUGUACUUUAUUGCUUGGAAUAAGCACAUUUUUCGUUCGUCAUGGAUGCUCAAGUAACCAGAGAGGAAACCAGAGAAACUAAUGAAGAGACUAAUAAUGUAAAAUUUUGAUUUUGCCCCUUUGCAUGAAUCAUAUUGUAUGGUUAGCAAUGCCGUCGGAACAAAUUUCAUAUGGGGGGGGGGCUUUUCAUUCAGUACAUUGUUAUAAAGGAAACAUACUGCAGUUUGACAAUUAUUGGGGGGCUCCAGCCCGUUUCUGGUGGGCCUGGUUAGGUAUCUUUUGGUUUUCCCAAUAAAUAUGUUAAUUGUUACUGGUAGAUACGUAAAGUGGCAUCAGACAGCAUCAGAGAAAAAUAUCUGAACAUAUAUUAAAUCGUAUAAGACUUGCAAUAUGCAAUAAGACAAACAAUAUGCAUAACAAGCCCCUAAACAUUUUAAACAUCCGCUAUGCCCUUCAUUUCUAUCCAUCAUUUGUUUGUUUGUAUAUUAAACAUAUUAUCUUUAGCAUGCUUCUGUUUCUGUGAUUUGGUUGUGAUAUUAAUUGAUUAGAUUCCAUUUGCUGCAAAUUCUUUGUAUUCUUUUUGAGAUCCUUGUAAGGAAACCUGAAAAAGUCUUUUGUCUAUACAAUAUGAGUUUUUGUGGCUUAAGAGGGGGCUGUUCAUUGUUUUGCUUCCCAUUCAAUACAGUUUGCAUUUAUUGGAAGGCAGCCCUUUUUCCCACUACCAUAAUGUUAUUUUAAUAGAGAAAAAGUAAAUUCUAACUGUUCAACCUGGUUGGUUGAUUGAAAGAGAUUAAUAGGGUCAGUGUUGAGAUAUCAUACUCAAUGAACACCAUAAAGUGCAAAACGCUGCACAUUGAUACACACAAAUAAACUGUAAAUUUGGGCCCAUAUAUUUGUGCUUUCCUGUUGACCUAUUGAGACCUUGAGCCAGUUAUAGUUAUAGUUAUAAUGAAAAGGCUUGUUUCUGCAUAAUUUUGUCCAAAUGGCAUUUAUAUGACUUAUGUCUGAAAGUGCACGCAGAACAAAGUUCAUAUUUGGGGGGGGGGGGAGGGCCUGCCCAUUGUAUCCUCAUUCAGUGUUAUAAAGGAAAUAUACUACUGUUUUACAACUAUUGGGGGGCCCUGGUUCUGACAGCCCUGAAUCAAUAGCUUUACAUAAGUGACUGCUAUAUUUGUUACUCUAAUUUUUCAAAUAGACAAAUAAUUUGUUUCAAGAGAAAUCAACGCGUGGCAAGAAGCAAUCAGCAUUUAUUGAAAAUAGAUCAUACCGUAAUGUGUUUGAUCAAAGGCAAAGAGAGCAGAUAAAUAACAAAGUAAGUGCCAUAUGAAACAGUGCCAUAACAAACAUUACAUUGGUUUGAAUCUAUUGAGCAUACUCAUUUUGGUUGUAACACUAAGAUAUCAUAAAGAGCCAUUUAGUCAAGUAUCGUAUGUAGAUAGAAUUAAAGACAGGAAGUAUUAUUUAUAAAGUCAUCAGUUCAUGAAGGCGCUGUCAGCUGUAUUGACAUUGCAUGAUUAAAAAAAUUCAACCAUGCUGCAACUAGUCAUGAGAGUUUCUAUUUCCCAUCCAUCAAAACAUCAAUACACCAGUGACAUCAAAGACAGAAUGAAGAAACAGAUAUUGCAAAUUUUGUAAAGCACUUUGUUAACUUUACAUGAUAAAAAAAAUCAGAGAGAGCAAUACUUUUUUAUCAAUAUGAUCUUGUUGCUAUUUUUAGCUGAAAGAGUGGUUUUCAAGAAGUGGUGCAGUCACAAUUGCACUGACUUUGGUUAAAGAAGAUGACAGUAGCUAUUUUGUUCAGUAUUUGGGUAAAUAUGUGAUAUCCUUUAAUACCCCAUAAAAUAAUCAUGUGCUAUAAAUCUACAUGUGCACAAACAAAAUUGUUAGAGCAAAGACUUGUUUCAAAAUGCCAACAAAGAGUUUAUAUGCCAGUAAUUAGAUAAAUAACUACUCCCUCAUUAAACUACCCUUCGGUAACUAGACAUAGCAGCACCCAUAGAGUGAGUAGCCUUUAUAGUGCCUGAUGAUCUGAAUAAGCAUGAAUAAUAACAUCUGCAACCAGCUUACCCUAAAAGCUGCCAUAAUUUGAAGUGAAACAUGCUUUUCAGACACUCUAGAACUCCCAAAAUCAUUUUGCCGUCAUCUUAAUUCAAAGGACAUGAAGCAUUCCACGAAUUUGUGGAGGGUGAAUACAUUCAAAGCAAAUUCGUGAAUGUGGCUCUGAGUGGUGUCAAGGAAAGAACAGGAGGCCUCAAACGACCACAUUCUGGUGAUAGUAUUGUUCAGCAAGGUGAGGGAAUGUAGCUUCAAAUCAGCUUCAAUAUGAUUUUACCAUUAAGGCUGUGGUAUAUUUAUAUUAGAGCAUUGUUCCCUUGGAAUGAGAAAAGUUUAAAAAUAAAGAGAAUGCGGAAAAUGCAGAUGAAGUGAAAAAAAUUAGAAUUAUGUCUGGUGAUGACAAGAUGAUGAUGAAUACACAAAAUACCCUAUUAGUAAGAGUCUUAUCCUUUUUAGAGGUAUAAGAGCUUUGGUGAUCUUGGCGAAUUGUGUUUAUCGUCUCAAGAUGAAAUUUAAGACCAUGUUGAUUAUCCUAUUGAUCAAACAGACUGUGAUUGAAUGUAAACACAUACUUACAUUCGGGUAAUGUCACAGUUGACUAAUAAGUAAUCAUUUUUGUGAAGCCAUUAAUUAAACACCAGUUUAAAGUUGGAAAUCAAUCAAACAAAACGUCUAACCAUUGGCUGGCAACGCUUUUAAUUUAGAAUUUGGCAACUUUCUAAGAGUCUCCAAUCUUUGAAGCCUUUGUAAGACUCUUUGAAACCCAAGUGUACCUGUAAAUUGCAGGAAAUUUUGGUGAGGAGAUAAAUUUUCACGAGGAGAUAAAUUAGACAAUUUUCAGCAUUAUUCAGCAUUGAAAAACAUCGUAGGUUUAUGACACUUGUUACAAAAGUUUUUACAAAAGUAAACGGACUAAAAAUGUACCAAUUGAUGAUGCCCCUUAUGCCGGGGCGAAAUGUCUGUUUGUUGUUGUUCACUCUCGUCGCGUUGCGGUGUUACUACUAUUUUGUAACACAGCAAUGCCGAAAGUUAUUGUAAACCAAUAUUGUUCCAUGGGGGAGAGGGAUGGGUGGCUAAAUUUGACCUUGGAAACUGGCGUUAGUGUCCAAAGACUUUUGCCAGGUAUUGUAGUAGUCUGUUCCGAUGGGUUAUUCACCACAAGAACAGAAAGUUUCGUUUUCUCGCAUUACUGACAGAGACAUCAGCAAAUUUGUUACUUGGCAUGAUAUUUGUUUUACAAUUCUACUCAUGAAUUUAUUCCACUUAGACGUAGAUGCAGACAUCACAAGUCUUCUUCUGAGCCAAGAUCAGAGUUUUCUUCGUUUGGUUGUUGACGAAAAAUGCAAACUUAUUGCAAGAAUUGUUAAAGGUGGAAAACGUCAAGGGAAACUUUGGCGUGAGGAGAACAGACAGUUGUGGUGGCCCUUGGAAGAUUUCCUUUCUCCAAAUUCUGGUAGCCCUCGCAUGCGGGUGGAGGAGAUGGAUUCGGUCUUGAAGGCUUUUCGUGAUCACCUGCGAGAUACCCAAGAUUUGGAACAUCAGUCAGAACAAGAGAUCUCGGUGCUGAAAAGCCAAGCUACGGAACCAGCAGAAGAAGCGAACGGCUUUUCAGCAGCAUUUGAGCGACUGGAGGAGACGGUUGGGGUUAGUUAAUGCUAAACAAUUAUGUGUUGCACAAUAUUCAAUCUACAUUAGUUCAAUAGAUACAGAGCGAAGUCAAGAUAUGUCGAAGAAGUUGAUUGAUAUCGAUUCCAAUAAUUUGGUUUUGUAAGAUAGAGUUAGUUGGAAGCCUUUUCGUCUUUUUAUAUCUUUAAACAACUGUUGGUCAAGCAAACGAGCAAAGUAGAAACUAUCGCAAAAGUGUAUAUGAUUUUUAAAGAAAUGGGAUUAUUUCAAAAAGGAAUUUUCUUCAGAAUAAAUAAACUUGAAAUACAUUUUAACCCAGGAACAUCAGUCAGAACAAGAGAUCUCGGUGCUGAAAAGCCAAGCUACGGAACCAGCAGAAGAAGCGAACGGCUUUUCAGCAGCAUUUGAGCGACUGGAGGAGACGGUUGGGGUUAGUUAAUGCUAAACAAUUAUGUGUUGCACAAUAUUCAAUCUACAUUAGUUCAAUAGAUACAGAGCGAAGUCAAGAUAUGUCGAAGAAGUUGAUUGAUAUCGAUUCCAAUAAUUUGGUUUUGUAAGAUAGAGUUAGUUGGAAGCCUUUUCGUCUUUUUAUAUCUUUAAACAACUGUUGGUCAAGCAAACGAGCAAAGUAGAAACUAUCGCAAAAGUGUAUAUGAUUUUUAAAGAAAUGGGAUUAUUUCAAAAAGGAAUUUUCUUCAGAAUAAAUAAACUUGAAAUACAUUUUAACCCAGGAACAUCAGUCAGAACAAGAGAUUUCGGUGCUGGAAAGCCAAGCUACGGAACCAGCAGAAGAAGCGAAAGGCUUUUCAGCAGCAUUUGAGCGACUGGAGGAGACGGUUGGGGUUAGUUAAUGCUAAACAAUUAUGUGUUGCACAAAAUUCAAUCUACAUUAGUUCAAUAGAUACAGAGCGAAGUCAAGACACAUUGCUCUUCUGUGUUUGAGGAUAUCAUCUUUCUAUUUUUAUUUAAGUUUUAAAAAGCAUGUUAAACUUGACAAAUUGAUGCUAGUAUUCAAAAAAGUUUCUUUUUCUAGUGUGUUACUGCAUGGAAUCCGGAGGUAUCAAACCAGUUCCUUUCCAGCAUCCCUCCUAAUGCAGACGCGGAGUUUUUGAAGCGCAUAAUCGGUCUUCUUCCAUGAACAUGUGGCAUAAAGACAGUUUCAAAGACAUGGCUUCAGUCUGACGUGGAAACUUGGUAAAUAAACCUAUCUUUAAGAUUAUCAAAUACCAACAUUAUUGCCGAUGGUACACCCUUCUGUACACCCUACUGGCGGGAAAAACACAAGUCAGUAAAUCACUGAAUCAAGUAUAAACCCAGCGGGCUUGCUUUAAUAUAUCUAUGAUUCUAGUUUAAUGGAAACAUUGGCUUCUUCUAUUAGCUUCUUUUUUAAUAUGAGAGCCUUGAGAAUUCACUAUUUAGGCCCAAACAUUGAUAAAUUCAGCAAAAAGUUCUGUAAAUAAUGAAAGAAUAAAGAAUGUUAGGAUAAAAUGAAUUCUGGUAUUCUAAUGAUAUGAUAACUAACAAUAACUUUUAUUUUCAGUGUCAGACAUCAAGUUCCGCUAUGCAUUAGGGGAGAGAAGGAACUGAUUUGCAUUCCUAAAGAUCAAAAUGAGAUCUUCCAUGCAGUAUCCACGGCGUUGUAUGGAACAGACGCAUACUCACCUUUGCUCCGUUUAUGUUCCUGAUGAAUGAAGCUGAUUAUGGAAAAAGUAAGUUUUUCUUUUUUCCAUGACUCUGCCUUCAGAAUGCAAGCUAUUGCAUUUUAAUUUAUAUCUUUGAUACUUUCCUUGAUGAGCAUGAUACUGCCUUAAAUUUGCAUGGUACUUUCAGUUACAGUUGACGAACAUAUCCCGCGUCGAAGAGGAGAUUUUGGAAACACUCGUUGAUAGGGGACGUAGAUGUGAGUAUAAUCAUUGAUUAGACUCUAGAUUUUAGUCAGUGAUUCAACACGUUAGGUGGGAUCACUUUAUACGUAGCUUCUUCCCUAUAGCUACUUUCCUAGGGACACUAAAGUAUAAAUUUGCUACAAUCACAUACUAUUAAUGUCAAAUAGCGAAAGUUUGAAGCAACGAAGAACAAAAAGCAUUAAAUAUGAAAUACAAAUGAAGGUUAUGGUAAACGUUUUCUCGAUGAAAACAUCCACUUUUAAAUUUCUUGACCUUAUAGUAGCUCAACUUUCAAGGUAUCCAAUGAUACUAACAGAAGCUUUGAAAAUGGAAAAAGUCUUAUAAAAAAGCUAUUUUUUCCCAAGGUUAAAAAAUUUGCACACCGUCAGGAUGGAUGUCGGGUGCGCAAAGAGCGUCUCAAAAAUGUUUGUGUUUGCUGGGAUCCGUCUUUUAUAGCCAAUACAACUGUCGGAGGGUAGAAUUUUUGACAGGGUGUAGUUUCAAGGGGAGGAGGAAUUUGACUAAAUAGCUUCUGAAAGUAGUGCACUCAUUUAAACAAUAAAUUUGCCUGAAAACUAUCAUUUUACAAUAUUUCCUGUUUAUUUCGAUAUGGUUGAAAUCAUUAUACUCUUGUGCAGGGGCGUCAAGACCGGGGGUGUGGGGGGUGUCACAAUAAUAUCUCGAUAGGAAAUUUCAGGUAAAAUCUGCCCAGUGGAAUAAAUGCUUUAAGUCUUUCAAAGACCUUCAUUUCCUUAUAUUAAGGAAGACAAACAAACUAAUGAUUUGAAGAUUUCUUGUUAGCAUAAGCUCUAAAAAUCCAGGCCCUUUUUAGGUAAAAUUGUGCACUGUGUCCAUUUCCCCUAAAGUUUCUCGAUAGAAGCUUGAGAUUUUUUUAACAUUCAAAAGGCAUGCUAAGAUGGAAAGAGGGAUCUAAAUUGACAACCAGUGCUACUUGUUAUAUAGCUUUGGAAGUAACUGACAACAUGGAUUUUUCAAGACCACGGCGAAAUUGUACCAGUUGUUUUUAUCUCCUGUUCAAAUUAGGAGGAUUGCUUUAGUAAAGUUUACUUAAAAGAGUGCAUUUUCGGCCUUGUUCUUGUGCAUAGAAUGAUAUAUAGUUUAAUCCGAUUCCAUCAAUAGUUUAGCUUUUAGGCAGAGAAAACCAAGUAUAGUAGUAUAUAAGGAACAUCGCAACGCGACGAGAAUAAACAACAAUCGCCUUGCGGUGUUCCUUAUAUGCUACAAUUUAAUCGAUUUUUCGCUGCAAGAUUUCCUCCGGAGUCCGUUGAGCAGCCUACUAUCGUGGCCUCUCCUUUAUUCGCAAAACCAAGUAUCGUGUUAAAAUAGUUCACCGUAAACUUAAAUGGGUAUUAAUUUGACAAAUUUAAGACACUAAGCUCCAUCUCUACACAUAUGCUUUAUUUGCCUUUGCCUUGGCAAAUCAAUUCAAUAAAUCUAGACUGUAGACUGUAGAACCAAAUCUUGAGAGACACUUUUGGUUCCUUCAGUUUACCUUCUGCUCUGCAGAAAAAUAUCAGUGAUUUGAAGCAAGCAAGCUGCUCGGGGAGCUUGCAAAUGCCAAGCAGUCUUCACAAAGGCCACUUCUCAUAUUCAAUGCUCAAAAGCUUGGUAAUUGGUAAUUCGAAUUGGUAAUUCGAAUAAAUAUAAAAAUUGCUAACCUCAAGCAGCCAAAUUUUAUGAAUAAAAGUUCCGUCUCUUUCUUCAUUUUAGCCUAAAUUUCUGAAAAUUUUGCCCAGGCUAUACGCAGCCUCCCUCUAUUGAAGUGUCUUUUCAUUCUUUUUUUGGUUUUUAGCUCUUGUUCACUUUGGAAUGUUGGCUGAGGCACUUAAUGUCGAUAUUAAGUGUCAUUCGGUCAAUAAUGACUUUUCUUGUACAUAUAAAAGUGGCAACGCGUGGGCAGAGGUCGAUGUUUUGUGGUAUUUUGGCGAGGAAGGGCAAUGUCAUGUAUAUCCCCUGAAUGAGCUUCCUGAAAAGAUACAACAACUGUGCCUUGCCUACGACUGUGCUGGGCACUUCGGUUGCUCAACAGGGGACGAUUCUUUCUAUUGUCCUUUUUGUUGCCAAACGUACCAUAGAAAAUGCCUUGGUAAAAUUUAUGACAACUGCUGUGAUUGUCAUGCAUUAGCAAAGGUACUUCCAGUGUAAGUAUGUGUUUGAAAAAAGUUUGUCAAUAAAUGCUUGUUAGUCCCCAUAUAGUUUAUUCACUUCAAUGAUGUAAAAAGAACAAGGAGCCAGAAAAAUCACAGUUGUGUAGCAACGAACCUCAUGUAGAAUUAAACUGAACUUACUUACACAAAUAAACACUAUCACAUAUAAACGUGAGGACACAAAAUAGCGGGGACAAAAUAAAUGAGUUUGUUAGAGGACUUUGUGUGUUUACAGAAUGAGAAAUUGCAAUCAACUUCUUUACCCAGUUUUUAACUAGUAAACUUUUCUAUGUCGAAAAAUAUGUUUGAUAUUUUUUACUUGUACUCGAUAGCUUGUGUUCACUAUAGGAUUCAAUUCAAUUUGAGGACUUUAGCAAUCAAGCAAGCUGUGUUUUGAGACUUCGGAUAUGGUUCUUUAGUUAUACCAUUUUUUAAUUGAUAAAGAGAUUGUUCUUUUGAUUUUCGAAUUUCGAUUCCUGGAAGAACUUUGAUACCAGUAGAUUUGUGUAAUAAAUACUAAAUGAUAUUUGCAGGAAAUCUAGAUUGAGUCAGGGAGACAGCAUCAAGAGAAUGCUGCAGAAUGGCACCUCAAUGUUGGAGGUAAAUGGCAAUAUCUAUCUAUUAAAAGUAUGGUUAUAUCAUUAUUUGGUUAUAUGGUUAAAGAACAAACAUGACUUUAAAAAGAUAUCAGAGAAUGGCAUGCUUAAUAACUCAAUAAUCAAUGUAUUCCAAAUUCUGAUGCUGAAGGAACACCUUGAGUCAAAUGAUUUACAAGACCCUUUUCUUGGGCAAAACAUGUUUUUUACUGUACACCACGACAAACCUUUUGUUCAAAUCCUCUAUGAUGGAAAACUACAUUGGAUUGCUGUUUCAACAUAUGUUGUUUUGCAUUUUACACACAUUUGAAAGGUAAUUAAGGAAUCUAACUUUUCACCAAAAGUUCAGCUUUUCAAAAACUUCAGAAACAGAGGCUUAUGAAGUUCUUCUAUUUUACUGUGGAAGGAAAUUGCUUCGAAAUUGGGUUGGAGAUGAAAAUUCGGCCAUAAUUUUAGCAUAUUUGGUUGGCGGCCAAGAGUUAAUAACUCCUGUACGUGCAUGCGAAAUUCUUGAAAAAACAUCGCGUUUGCAUCAAGAUCCUUAAGUGGAACUUCUAUAAAUCUAUCAGGUAAUGUGUUUCUAAAUUAUUGUUUGUCUUGGUAUAGAAAAUUCAAUUUGAGCAUUAUGAGCACUGGAUUUAAGAGAAAUCAGGCUCAACUAGUUUUUAUAUUCAAAAGAUAGGAACGAGGCUGUAGAUGUGUUCAACAGCAAAUGCUUGCAAAAAAACACGAAAUCUAACUAAUACCAAUAUGCCAAUAUGCAAAUGAGCCCGAACAAAAGACCUCCACACUGCCCCGCGAUUGUACCACCGCCCGGCGUUGCACACGGUGCCCAGCCAAAACUGCUUGGCCGAUUUUCAAAAUUCUUUUUUUCCCUUCAUCAACGAAUCUUUGGUUCACCAUACUACGGUCUGCUUUUUUUCCUUUUCGCUUCCGUUCCUGAGAUAUUUACGGUUUUCUCCCGGGUUCGUCUCGAUCCCCACCGCCCCGCGAUUGUACUGGUUUGCAGCCAAAACCGCUCGGCCGAUUUUCAAAGUUCUUUUUUCUUCUGAAUCCUCCAUCCCGAUGCACCAUCAUCAGGUCUGCUUUUUCUCAUCGUUCUUUUCGUUUCUCAGAUAUUUACACGGUUUUCUCUGAGGAUGCAAGAUCUCGAUUAGUGCUCUCCGUGGUCUUUGUCCCGCGUUUCUAAAGGUUCUUUCUCUCUUUUCUGUUGCUCUCUACUACAAAAGAUUUCAAAUCUUCUUCCUCCAGCAACCCUUCAAUUUGAACGGAGGCUUUUCAAAUCCGUUUCGUUGUUAAGACAAAGAAUCUACUGUCUGCCGAUAAUUUCGGUGAUUUGGAUGAUUUGGAUAAAUCUACGUGCACUGCUGGUUGGCAUUCCUUUUCGAACUCGAAGCGGUUGUCGACGGUUGCAUUCUGUGCUACGGUGCUACAGUGCUACCAUGCUACAGCUACAGCUACAGGUGAGUCUCGCUAGCUUUUUAUAAGCUUUUCGUCGUCAUUUUCCUUUCCUUUUUAUCGAUCGAUCAAUACUCCGUUUGUUGUUAUUUCGUUUGCAAGAGCCAUGUAAUUCGUGGUUUUGACGAUCUUCCUUUUCUUUGUUUUAGUAGCUACGUACGGUACGCACACUGCUGCCCGUUUUUUGGUUUUGCGAUGGCUGCUGGCUGUUCUUCUUCUUCACUAGCAUCAGAAUCGAUGGCAUGCGAAUACAAAUCAAAGAUCGUUUCAAGCAAUAAUUAUGACGCAGACAUGAUUCUCGGACCUUCGAAACGAAAUUGAUGGCAUUUAUGCUGGCGUUAAUUCAAACGAUGAAACAAGAAAAGACUUUACUGUGAAGAAACGGACUAAAGUUAUAUAGAUCAGCUGUUGUCCGUAAAUUGUAUUUUGUUAAUUUGUUGUUAGAGUAAGAUUCCUUUCUGAUGCACGAAACUUUGGCUGUUUUUUAUCUUUCUAUUUCUUAACUGCUUUGUUGCUGCAGUGUUGCAAAAGCUAAUUGUGACGAAGAUGUGAUAUGUGGACCUCAAAUGUAUAGAACUGCGUAAUAAUUCUGUACCUCUUUAGAAGAGGAGUCACUAAUUUUUUUAUGAAUCAACAUAAUUUUUUUAGGAAUUUUGAUUGUUAAGAAAGUUUUAGAUGAUAUAUAUUUAAACGAGCACCAUGGACCAAUAACUGCUAACAGGAAUUUAUUGUUGGAAAAACUUUAAUGUUUGAUUCAAAAUAAACAGAGGAACUUUAAAGGUGGCCCGAAGUUAUAUCUUAAAACAACAUCACAAGUGAACAAGAAUUGAACAAAAUGUUAUGAUAAAAAUAUUCAUGUUGGAUUCAAAAUGAACAUUAGAGCUUUAAGAAUGGCCUUAGAAAAAAAUUAUAAGCGCCCUAUAAGUCGAUGAGGGCCAAGAGUGUAUGAUUGGAAAACUUAAAAAUUUGAUUCUGACUAAAUAGGAGAAAUUAUAGGAUAAACCCAUGAAAAUUUUGUCCUUCAAGGAAAAUUGAUUUGCUGUAUUCGUCGCUUAACAAGACCAUAUUCAAAUGGUUUUAUGCUUAAUUUGAUGAAAUUACACUAAAAACCGGAGAAUGUUUACCUAAAGUUGUUUUGGAUUUGUUUACAUCGGGGGGCAAUUCGCUCUUGCAAGUAACGUGCGAGAUUUUGCCUAAAACAAAAGGAUUUCUUGGGAUUAUCAGAUAAACCAAUAGGAUUUUCACAAAAGGGGUAAUGAUGGACCGACUGAAAGUUGCUAACACUUAGGGGGUUAAAUCAGCAAAUUACCUGCUUUAAAUACCAGAUAAUGUAUAUUUCGAGAUGAAAAAUGGAUUGAUAGGUACAAGGGGCCAACUGAAAUUUGCUGACAGAAAGUUAUAAGCCAAUUUUGAAUAAAGAACGCACUUAGGGGGUAAAUCUGCCAUUACCAGCCUUAAAGGAAGGUAAAGCCAGAUAAUGUUUAUUGCGAAAUGAAAAAUGAAUUGAUAGGUACAAGGGGCCAACUGAAAUUUGCUGACAGAAAGUUAUAAGCCAAUUUUGAAUAAAGACCGCACAUAGGGGGUAAAUCUGCCCAUUACCAGAAUGUAUAUUGCGUCCUUGAUCUUGCAUGAUCGCCAUAAAAGCUAUGAUACUGCUAAUGGUAAUUGGAUUGAUUCUGCUAAGAAUUUCCCAAGUAUUGAUAGUCAACAGGUAAUCAAUUUCGGGUUUACUUUUCUAGAAGGAUUUACAAAAUUACAGUGAAGGUAAUAAAACAUUAUCUUCCCACACGAAAAUAGCUCAUAUUUCUAUAGGUUUGUUGCUCUAAAUGAAUACUUUUUCCUCAAGGGUUAUUUUCGUUUAUAUGCCAAUAGUAAAUGCUACUCACAGAAGGCGUGACUAUUAAUUGGAUUAGUUAUGUUUGGCUGUCGCCACAUUGAAAUAGCGCUUGUGUGCUUGCUGUAUGAUAUUACAUUUGGUGUUCAGAUUCCAUAUAAAAUUGUAAGCGUGUAGGAGGGCAUUGUUCAUGGUGAUUCAUUUUGAUUUGAUUUGUAAAGAGAGUAAACAGGUAACUAAGGUUGAGAAAUCUUAACAUGAAGGGUACAAUAUCCAACAAGUACAAAGAUUUACUAGAAAUACAAAGGCUGAUCAAUCUGAUUUGAAGGCUAGAUGAUUUUGGCAUGUCCAUUACUUUUCUAAAGAAAAUGCUGGCAAAUCUACUACAACAAGUAUUUUUCCAUCAAUUCAAAGCAAGCAAAAUCACUCCUCCACGACAAAUUGUUUACAUUCUUUUAAACCCUCCUUUAUUUAGGAGUGCCUAUUAUCCUGUAUUCCUAUUUAAGAAACAAUCUUUCCUUCUCUGAACCAAAAAGUCCACCGUUACCAAAAAUGAACAAAGACAAAGAAACGUUCAUUGUACAUUUUAGAGGAGAGGUAAAAGUAAGUACUCUUCCUAUCUCAAAUAUUAUCUUUAGAAAUUAGUUGCUAUUUGCUUUGCUAAGAAUAAUUCCUUUUUUCUUAUAUGAGUCAAUGCCACUUAUUUCUAUAACACUAUGCAAAAGGAUCCUCUAAACGUUACGAAUUAUAUCGUUGUAACACUUUCCAUAUUCACAAAUUAAAUGCACUCAACAAUUUUUUCACAAAUUCUUUUUUACAGAAUCUCCCGUACAAUGAUGGCAGUAUUCGCAAAUUGAAAAUAGAAGCUGCAAGUGCAUUUGCCCUAAGCAGAAAAAUAAAAUUCAAAAUUGUAGAUCGUCAGCGGCAUCUCAUAAGAGAAUUAAGGUACGUUUAGCAUUUGGUAUAAAAACUCCCUUUCUACAGAUCUUUUCGUCUUUUUACAUUUAUUUUUUAGCUGUUUUCUUGACAUUGUUUUUUCAAGACUGGUUACCUUCAACAAUUUUUAUUUUUUUCACAGGGCCGGGGAUGAGGUAUUCCUGCAUCUUUGCAGGAAACCAAGACAGAGUUUGCAGAAGAAAGUGAGAGAGACAGUAACUUUUAAUUUUUCGUUUUCUUAACCCCCUUUUCAUCUUUUUUCAAUAUGUAGAUCGAUUUCUUAACAGGCUUUUGAAUUUAUAGUAUCAUUUUAAUUAGUUAGUUCGCUGAUUAGUUAAUUACUAUUUACGUUUGGCAAUUAAUCGCCGUUCCCCAAUAACUCCCCUGUUCGGAAUUGACUUCCAUAUAAGGGCACGUGUCUUUCCAUAAUCACAUAAUCACAUGAUCCAAAUAAGGACAAGUGUCUUUCAAUGAUCACAUGACCAUUUCGUCCAUAAAACUUGGCUGUCGAAUGACAACCCCACAUUGCACUUUCGCAUAUCUCUGAUUGCAUUUCAACUUUGACGCAUUCAAACUUGUAAGUACCUUUUAUUCAUUGAUUUGCAACUUCCUUAUUUCAUCAUAUAGUCAAAUUUUUCGUAUCGACAAAAUAAUUUCAUGAAACCCUUUACUGACUCAGGAUUUUUCCGUUGAUAUUGCGUAUGACUGUUUUAAAGAUCUGACUUUCUUUAUUGAUUUAAAAUAAGUUUCAUAAUUAUUUUACAAUUCCGCUAUGUAUUUAAGCUGCGUAGAUGCGGAACCACCCCUCUAACAAACAUUGACCCAAAAUGGAAUUUCAUCAAAAACAAUUACAAGAAUGCCUUAUUUCCAUCUUAAUGCGAAGCAAGCCAUCUUUAACUCAAAACAAUUUAGUUUUCCACCCCCUAGAGAAAUUUCAUAUUAUGCCAUUGGAAACGCCAUUUCGACAAAAAAAUCAUAUCUGUAGUUAAUUCUUUAAUUUUAGUUUUGACCUUCUGCUGUUUAGUGAUAAUUCUAAAUGAUCAGGACUUCUACUCAUUGAUUCCUUUCGAAUUCGUUGUAUUUGUGAAGUUUAUGAAAUGAACCAUUAAACAAAUUUAACUGUAACACCGGAACCUUUCACAUUCAUAAUGCAUGCCAGGGGCACAUCUGUACCUGUUUCUUUGGUUCUGUGAACCAGUCGAGUUGUAUUUAAAAUACCCCAUUUUCCAAAGUUUUUGCAUGUUCAUUAUGAAGUCUGUGUGAAAAUUAUUAGGUGCAAUACCAUCAAAUGUUACAGUGCCAUUGAAAUUAUCAGGCAGUCUAUUUCUCUUACGCUCAUUUUUAUAAGAACAAUUUUAAUAGAACAGGAGCCUCAAAAUUUGUCAAAAGUUAAGAACAAAUUAAGAACACCCAAUUAAUUAAAGAACAAAUUUAGAACAAUCCAGCCUCAGAUUUGUACAAAAGAGUAUAGUUAUAUGAUGGUUACAUACAGUUUGAACUUUCAUUUACCUAAAAUUUAUCCGUUGAUACAGCUUGCAAUAUGGCUCAAUGUAACAUUGAAAAGAAAUUAAAGGAGCUGGCAUCCUUCCUUGACGAAUGCAAAAACAUCCCUUUCCGAAAUUGAGAAGGGGGAUACCAGCCAAGAAAGAUACAUUCGAAUUUGCAGAGCAAAGCUGCAAAGUGCCUGUAGCCGCCUUGAGGCUCUAACGAAAAAUCUCGAAGAGUUUUUUUGCGAAUUAGAAAUAAGAAAAGACAUGGAUGAUUCUGACUUUUUAUUGGAAGUAAAAGACAUUAAUUAGUUGUAUAUAUAUGCAUUUUACGUUUAGAUUUUUUACAAAUAUGCAUGUUCACUUUGUUUUAUCUUUUCAUGUCUCUGUUCUUCGGACUUGGAGAUAUCUACAAAUCUACUAAUAUUAAUUAAUCAUUUAACCUGUAUCAGUUAACGAUAUAUAUUCCUCAAUGAUCUUAUUGCCAAAAAAGAUAGGACAGGAAAGCAGGAAAGAUGCUUAUUUUACCAUAUCAAACAUCCUCCUUGCGUGAUACAAGGACGCCGCAACGACCAAGGGGCAAGAGGGUAGGCUUCAGUAGCACAGUGUAUGUGCAGUGCCGUAGGAAGGACAGAACUUUAUAGGAGUACCAUUGUUUUGCAACAGUACUAAGAAAACAAUUUCUUCAUUGGAAAGAAAGGAUUUUUAUAAUCUUUAGGGGCAUGAGCAUGUUCUUUUAAUGAGAUGAGAUGUUCAAAGUAGUUUAACCUUUUACACCUUUAAAAAACUAUCGAAUUUUUUAAAGUGUCCAUUGCAUUGUGGGACUUGUUGGGCCUCAUUUUGGAAUUUUUCGCAAAUUGGAUUUGCACUGGCUCUAUUUUAUGUACAUCCAUAAUGGCGACCUAGAACAGAUCGUUUCUGUUGGGCUUACACUUGAAACGAAACAACAAGUUACAGGAUACAAGAGACGUUUACUUCCAUUUCGAAAUUUUGGGGUUAAGUUAAAAUAUACAACUUUCUAAUAUUCUGGCUACUUUAAAGCAGGGAAGUGUGUGGUUUUUUACCUGCUUUUUGUCUGUUUUCAAUAAGGCCACAACCUUUCCAUUGUUUACAUUUUACAUUAUUUAUUUACUGAGGUACAAUCAACAAUAAACUUGCGAAAAAUUUUUGUGAAAAUCACUUGCACCCUAUGUGCAUUUGUUCUGUUUUCCUGCUUUUCGUGCUAAUGUCUAUUCUUCUUGUAAUUUUCGAUUACAGGAAAGUAAAUCUACGUUUGGCAACUAAAGGGCUAAGUGACAAUUACAGUAAGCUAUGGAAACCAGCUCAGAAACCAAAUAGAACCGUGGUUUGAGUGUGGCAAAUAAAGUUAAUUUCUUUUCAUUGGCCUUCCUCACAGUCGUUUACCAUCUGCAAAAAGGUCAUAUAUAGGCCCUGGCUGAAAGGUCUGUGCAACAUUCCUUUCCAAUUUUAAAUUUUUUCAAAUCCAAAUUAAAUUACAUGUUUUUUUAUAUUAAAUGUCAGCCAUAUUGAUUUUACUACUAAACUCUCACACCGUUUUACUUUGGUUGAAUUGGGUAAUUUUGUAAUCCCCAGCCUUGAGAUAUGCCACGUCGCCGUCGGCUAAACUUUAAUCGGCAAAGAGCAAGAGAAAGGCAAAGACAAUAUUAUCAGAACCGUCAUAACAACAAUGGACCACCAAAUGCAGGUGAACAACAAUUUGCUGAUGCAGUAAAUGAAUUAGCUGCAUUGGAACUUCAAAUUGCACAAAAUGAGCUUCCAGAUCAACAGGGCAAUAAUGAAGGAACUUUUGUGUGACCUUCUUGAAAGAAAUGCUUUAGAAUAAGGUUGCAUAUGUUUACACAAUUGAGUUGCAGAAGAGGUUUGCCGCAUGCACACAUGGUUCUGGUUUUCUCAGAUGGUGAUAAACCACGUGUGGCAGAAGACGCUGACAGGUUAGUAUCAGCCGAGAUCCCAGAUCCACGACAAUUUCCAAAUUUGCAUGAAAUGGUCAAGAAACACAUGAUCCAUGAACCAUGUGGUGACCUUGAUCCACACUGUGUUUGCAUGCAAAAUGGUGAGUGUAAGAAGAACUUUCCAAAACAACUCUCACAGGUAACUCAGGUGAAUGGAUACCCAGAGUACUGACGACGAGGACAACAUCAUGCGCAGCUACGUCGUCACUUGGUUAAUGACUCUUGGGUGGUUCCUUACAAUUCUCACCUUCUCAUGAAAUUCAACUGCCAUAUGAAUGUAGAAAUUUGCAGCACUGUGAAAAGUGUCAAAUACAACUUCAAAUACAUUCACAAAGGCAACGAUUGUGCACAUGUUAAAAUAAAAGAAAACACUUUACACCAUGAUGAGAUUCUCCAGUAUCUUAAUGCAAGAUAUGUUGGCCCACACCAGGCAAUGUUCAGGAUCAUGCAGUACAAAAUGCACGACAGAAGUCAUGUCAUCAUACGACUUGCAGUGCAUCUUCCUGUACAAUAGAACAUCUAUUUCCAGGAAGGAAAUGAGGAAAUAGUUCUUAAUGAGCGCCUUCAAAACCAUCUUGUAUCUCAAGGUACCAUUCUUUCCUUCAUCUUUGACCACUCUCUUCCUAUAGUCUCUAAAAUAUGGACCACGGUUCAAAGCAACAUGCCCAAGAACAUUUACAGUUUUACUAUCAAAUAUCUUAGCAACUCUCUUGCCACGCGAAAAAACCUAUCUAAAUGGAACAUUACUCAGUCGUCCGAUUGCUCUUUUUGCCAUAUGCCAGAAACGUUACUUCACAUUGUUGCAGGCUGCAAAACAUACCUCGAAGAAGGCCGUUACACAUGGCGCCAUAACUCUGCAUUGAACUUCCUAGCACAAUCUUUAAAAGCUAUACCUAAUUGCUCUCUUUACGCAGACCUUUCAGGUUAUCUCUCACCCUCUAUCACAACAGGAGACUUUUUCCGUCCUGAUCUACUUCUAGUCACUUCUGACCAUCGACUAAUUCAUACUCAAGCUUACAGUAGGAUACGAAACUAACUUGGAUGUUAAUGCUAACCGCAAAAGAGAGAAAUACUCGAAUCUCAUUCACAGCCUAAGCUCAGCCUAUUCUUCUAUCAUGUUUGUUAAUCUUUCUAUCAGUUCCCUAGGUAUCUUUGGUCUCUCUUGCUCCUCUUUCAUCGACAUGUGCAACGCUCUAGAUAUCAGCGAGAAUCAUCUCCGCUUCAUGAUCUCCAAACUUUCCAACUUAACUAUCCGUACUACCUAUUACAUUUUCUGCCCCAGAAAUAAAUCUUGGAAUAAUCCUGAUCUUCUUCAAUUCUAACUAUCUCUGCUACUGACGACUUCUAAAACAAACAAUGACGAACACACUUAUUCCUUUUUUUAUUAAUUUCUCUUGUUUGUGCUUGUAAUAGUCUUUUUCUUUGUAAACCCAGGCUAGUCAAUUGCAAAUUACCUUUGUAAUAGUGAAAUUUGUUAUUGUAGUUUUAAUUGAAUUGAAAAUGAAAAGUUUCCAUUAUUAUUAUUAUUAUUAUUUUUCUCAGUUUUUUCUUUUAUCUUAUGAUUGUUAUAGUUUUUUUUCUUGUAAAACCAGGCUAGCCAAUUGCAAAUUACCUUGUAAUAGUGAGAUUUGUAAUUGUAGUUUAAGUUGAAUUGAAAAUGAAAUGUUUCCAUUAUUAUUAUUGUAUGGUUAGGUAUCUUUUGGUUUUCCCAAUAAAUAUGUUGAUUGUUAAUGGUAGGUCUGUAUGUAUAUCUGGCUGUAAAUUUAUAGGCUUUUAAGUAUGUAAAUGUUUACAUGAAUAAGAUAGCAUCAGAUAGCAUUAGCGAAAAAUAGCUUUGUAUUUCUUUGGGAUCCUUGUAAAGGAACCUGAAGAAAUCCUUUUGUAAGAGAAUCUGAAGUCUUUUUGUAAGGGAACCCGAAAAAAGUCUUGUCUACAACAAUACUUUUUGUGGCUUAAGAGGGGGCUGUCAAUUGUUUUGUUUUUCAUUCAGUACAGUUUGCAAUAAACGAUUUACCGAUUUACCAUUAUGAAAUACUAGCCAAAAUUUCUAGCCAAAAUUUCUAUAAACGAUAACUAGCCAAAAUUUCACUCGCUCCAAGCCCCUGGACAAUACAAAAAUUUACCAAUUUUCAACCCUCCGAUUUUACACCAAAACAAAGCUACUUUUACCUAAAUUCUUUGGCAAAGUAAUAUUUAAAGGACAAGUGACACGCUUUUGGCACCAAAUUUUUUUUUAAUUUUUACUUAUAGUAAAAUGCUGUAUGAGAGUGUUGUUGAGAUAUUUUUCUAUUCUGAUUUCAUUUUCCUACUUAAAAACCCUUUUCAAAUUAUGGCAGGAAAUGAAUCACGUGACACCGUGACGUAGAUUGUGAUAAUUUGUUAUUGCUGCUACUGGUAUACAGUGCAAUAUUAACGUUUACAACAGGCUUCUAAACGAAUUCAGUUCGUCUGGACCUGUCGCGUCGUGUUUCAUAAACUCUCUAUCAAUGACAGGAAAAUUCCGAGUUAUCACAAUGUACGUCAUAGGGUCACGUGAUACAAAACAAAAUUGCGCCCCCUGCACCCCAUAAUUAGAAUCUUUUGUUCUAAACCGGGAAAAACUUACUUCUAAAUGAUGAUCUAUAAGCUAAUGAAAAGAUAGGGUGAAAAGUGUGUCACUUGUCCUUUAAUCACCAAAGUAUGUAAAAAAUACUUACUUACAACAAUUUAUUUUGUUUUUGGGUCUUCCACGUUAUAAUUGACAAAGAGGUACAAACAUCCUAAAUUUGUGGUGUUCCCUUUGAUCAGGAAUAUUCUUUUGCCACGUAGGCCCAGAACGUCCAGAAAAUGUUUGAAGUAAUCCUCUUCAGUUUGCCUCUCAGUCAAUAUACCUCUAUUAGAAAUAGGAAUCGGAUUGGCUGAAAUACAGAAUGCCAAAGACAUCCCCUUUUUGAUCAGCUGACAUGAGUAAAUGUGUCAUUAAAGGCGUGUUCUCCUCAUGAUGCGAAUAAGUUGGAAAUGAGUUAGAUUUAGCAGCUAGGGCAUUUAGAGCCUCUAGCGCAUUUAGAAUGAAAAGAGCCCAUUAUUAAAAAUAUCCAAGAAUUAGUAGCUGAUUUAAAGAGCAGUUAUGCUAAGGUUCUGAAAGAUUACAGUAUCUCGGAUCAAAAGGGAAUCAAUUUAAAGAAUUGCAGGAAUGAUGGUUCAAUGUGGCCCAUGUUUCAUAUCUUUGCAUAUAUUAUAAAUAAGAAAGCCUUUGAUACAGAGUAUGUCGACCAGUACAAGAUCAAGAAGGCAUAUUCGCAUUUUAUCAAUGGACUUGUACAUGAAAGUUUUUCAUUUAACUUUGGCACAGAUAAAAUUGUUCUCAAGGCAAAAGUCACACCUUCACAAAAAGUGAGGGAAGAUCCAAGGGAGACAUGGGUUCUUUGCA